rnacentral:lncRNA from 1 species
GCGGGGACGCUGGUGGUCCCGCGGGGGGGCGGGGGAAGGUCCCUGCCAGCCCCAGCGCUCGCUCUGCUCUCUUCCAGGUUUCAUGUCCUGGGAGGACAACCCCUGCAGCGAGAGGAACCCCUUCGUCUGCAAAUACUCAGCCUAGAAGCGGGGCCGCGAGCGAGCCGCCCCCAGCCCUGCCGUCACCCUGCACCCCGCGCCCCCCCGCCCCGGUGCCUGCUGCCCCCCUGCACGUCGCCCCCACACCCUGGGCCCCCCCUCGCUCCCAGCCCCCUUGCUGUGACCGUGGCGAGGGACCCCGCAAUAAACGCACACGAAGCACGCCCUGGUGCCGCGUCUUCCUCCGGCCGCACCCCUGCCCCGCUCGGCGCUGUCCCCCGGCCGCGGCAGAGUGCAGGGCUGCCCCUGGGGGGGGGGUUCUGCCCCCAGCCCCCUGGUCCUGCCCCCCCUCUGUGGUGUGACACCGGGCCAGCGGCGAGGUGUGCCUGCGGGCGGGGGGCUGCACAUUGGGCAGGGGCCGGAGGGAUGAACACUGCUGAAGGGACCCGGAGCUCAUUUGGGAAAGGGGCAGCUGUGCCUCCCGGCAGAGGGGGCCCUCGGCCCGGGCACAACGGGCACAGCUGGGCACAGAGACCCCUGGGGCACUUCUCCCACACCCCCGAGGCCCCCAGCGCACGAGGACGUCGCCCACCCUGGGCACGGCUGGAUCCUGCCCCAGCCUCAGCACCGGGGCCGCAGGCCCUCGAGUGCUGGGGUCACGAGGCCAGCACCGGGACCAGCGGUGCUGCUGCCCGGGGCCGUGCCGGGGUGGAGAGGGGCCCUCAGCCCCCUGCUCUCCCCCCCGGCUGCAUCUCGCCAUGGGGGCACCAGGGCUGCCCUGGGCCAUGGGGUCAGGGGCUUUCUGGGGGAAACCCCCGUAUCUGCCAAGCGGUUAUCACCAAAGCAGGAAAUUAUCCUCCCCCUUAUCAGCCAGAGCGUGCCCGUGUUUGCCGUGGCCGCUUUCAGAGACUCCGGUAUUUACCUGGAGCUCGGUGCCCGUGA